UAAUGGGUUCUUCAAGAGCAUGGUCUCGAACCGAAGCGCCAAGGCAAUCCGGCCUGGCUGUUUCGGGAGGUGGGACGAGGUUGAACUACUCAUUGAUCGGCGGGAUCGACUGGCCAUCGGUUCCCGUCCGUUGCAGGCCCGGAUGCAAUUUUUGAAGGAGCGACGA
rnacentral:sRNA from 9 species